rnacentral:tRNA from 1 species
GCCGGAAUGGCGGAACAGGUAGACGCAGCAGACUCAAAAUCUGCCGGACUUCACGGUCCGUGGGGGUUCGAUUCCCUCUUCCGGCA